rnacentral:lncRNA from 1 species
UCGAGCCACGGCUCCCACACGGCACCCCAGUGCCUCUGUAUCAGGGUGUCUGAAGGCAGGAAGCCUCGGAGCACCACAGAGGAGCAGCAGGCUCAGGCCGCCGUGGAGAGAGAGCCAAGGUCUCCAACCACCCUCCCUGACCUUCUUCACGCAGGCACCAGAGACCCCUGUGUGUGCAGGGGGCGGAGCUUUGCUCCAUGGCAACCUCAUCACCAUGGUAACUGCAAACUGGUCCAAUGGGGCAUCUUACAGUAGAGGGAGCAGGAAGGGAGCUGGGGGUCACGGGUACCACGGCGUCCCAGGGAGCUGGCGUUGGUGGAGGUGUCCGUGCUGACGACGACGAUGGGCAUGCCACCUACAUCACUGGGGGAGGGGCUGUGCGUGUCGCCCACCUGUGGCCCACCAUGGGCCCUCCUUGCACUCCAUGUUGUGGGUGGGAAGGGGGUCGAGGCUCGCCAAGCCCACGGUCAGGAGGUGGAGAAAGCAGGUGCUGGCCUGGGCCUGGGUGCCCAGGGGCCCGUGGCCUGGUCCUGGCCACCCUCACGUGACCCCCAGCUUCACAGCAGGCAGUGGAGCACCAGUCCCGCGGGCAACCCCAAGCCGCCGGCCACCACCCUGGCUCUGUGUCCUCCUUGCACGGCCUCCUGAACAGGGUUGGUGAGGACGGAGAGGCUGGACGUCCGAGGGGUUUUCAGGAAGAAGGUUCGCUGACUGCGGUGGUCCAGAGAGGGCUGUCGCCCGAGACCCUCUGAACAAGGGUUCCGGAAGUUCCUGGGACUUCCCACCCCGGGGAGGCGGGGCUCGGGCUCGCUCAGAGAGAGCCUCCCUUGGAGCUCUCAGGAGGCGCCUGGUCUCCUUUCUCAGAACCACGGAGGCCCCCGCAGACGCAGCUUCUGAGGACAGAGCGGCAGGGACAGGCAGCCGGCCACAGCGAGCCUCUGUGAGCUCCUGGGAGGCUCUUUACCGCAGGUCCUCUGCGGUCUGCAGCCUGCCCAGGGUCAGCACUCGCCCAUCCUGCCUGGGCCUGGCCGGUCACGGCCGUCUGCAGAACCCAGGACCCGGCGCUUGCGGGCACAGAGCGGACGGAGGUUCACCACCGAGGCUCGGCUGGAAGGCCUCCACGUGCAGCUCACUCUGUGUGCUGGCCUGAGUGUGUGCACACUGCCCCGCAUGCGCUCACACACACAAAACACCACAUAGACACACACCACACACACACACACACCCCACACCACAUACCACACACACACACCAACACACACCACACAGACACACCAACACACACCAUGCACACACCAACACACACACAAAACCACAUAGACACACACACCACACACACACACACACACACACACCACAUACCACACAGACACACACACACACCCCACACACCACAUACCACAUGGACACACACACACCCCUCACAGACACACAUACCAUACCACACCACAUGGACACACACACACCCCACACAGACACCCCCCACACACACACCCCACACAGACACACAACACCCCCCCACACACACACCACAUACCAUAUGGACACACACACACACACCACAUACCACACAGACACACACACACCACAUACCACAUGGACACACACACACCCCUCACAGACACACACACACCACAUACCACACAGACACACACACACCACAUACCACAUGGACACACACACACCCCACACAGACACGAGGAGAAGUGGCCCCUGACCCUGGAGACCAAUGUCUUCUCUCUUCUCAGGGAUGGGGACCUGUGGGCCUGAGGGACAGGUCCAGCUGAACCUGGAAGAACUCUGGCUGAUGUGGACCUGUCCCUCAGGAAACGGCCUGGACACCGUCCCCAUAGCUGGACCCCAUCUGUGCGUCUUUUGGUGCCCCCUGGUCAGCCGUCCAUCUUCAUUCUGAGGAGACCAUUCCCUGGAGCCGUCACCUGCUCCCAGGUGGUCCCCCAGCUUCUACCCUCUUAGUAGCUCUGACAGUUCUUCCUUGGGUCUACCUGGCAUCCUCUAGGGAGGCCUGGCUGUUCCUCCUUGUGCUUUGGCCACACGGCCAAGGGGUACAGAGGGUGGGACACACUAGGGAGUCUCUGAAGACAAAAAGCCGGUUCCCUGCAGGACAGGCCUUUUCCCUCCUACCAGCUCACCAAUCCCUUCCUCACUUAGUCAAGAAAGUGGCGCAGGACAUUCUGUGUCAAGGGCCACUAGGCGAGGCUGGGGCCUCCACAGGAAAGCCCGGCUCCUGCCUCGCACCGGCUGACCCCACGCCCUCCCGCUUGCCCAGAGAGGCCCACUCUCCUCCCUCCCUGAGGUCAGGGCCUCCACCAGGCAGAGGCUGUGGCAGAGAGACUGCGCUUCCUGGGGUCUCUCCUGAGCACCUAAGGGAGACAGGGAGGAGGAUGGUUAUCCCAGUGACCCACCCAGCACCCACCCAGCACCCCCACACCUACUGAGCAUCCCAGUAGCAACUGACAUCCCGCACCUACUCAGUGCCCCAGCACCCACUUAGCAACAUAGCACUGCUUGGAGCCCCAGCACCCACGCAGCACCCAGCAUCUACUCGGUUCUUCCUUUGCUCUGAGCUGCUACAGCAAAACUUCACAGACCAGCAACUUACGAGGAGCAGGCAGUCAUGUGGCUUGUGGGCCUCAUCAGGUCUGAUGCGGGCUCUGCUGUGUCACAACACGGGGGAAGGUCUCACGGGGCAGGGGUAGAUGGAGAGAGAGGCGGGCAUGGCCCUCCUUCUGUGAGGGUCCCACUCCCAGGUAACAGCACCAACGCCCCGUCACCCCGGGAGGGCCCUUCCCAAACACCGCUGCUCUGCAGAGUUCCCAGCACAUGGACUUUGGGGACACAUUCAGGCCCCCGUGGCCAUCAGGGCAUCCACUUUCCCUGGAGUUUCUGAUGUGUCCCUCCCUGGGAAGGACCGCACGCCUGAGCCCCUGGGGCAGCCAGUCCCACCCCUGGGAUACUGCGCCGUGUCCAGGCUGUCCUCAGGAGCUGAGCAGCAGUGAGCCCAAGUCCCUCUGAGUUUCAGGACCUCCCACAAACCCUUACAGAUGAAGCCAUCGAGCACUGAGCCCUAGCCCUGUCCCUCGGCCCCAGGAAGGAACCUGGCCUCCCCAGGGCUCUGGGCCAGGACCUCCAGGUGCUCUUAAACAUGCUGACGACCAGAGAGGGUUGAUGGAGGGGCCUCCCGUUUAAUUUAUUUGCUUGUUUCUGGUUUGUUUUACAUGACAGGAGAACGCGUUCUGACAUAUUGGGCACAAGUGGAGCACAACCUCUCCUUCCUCUGGCUGAACAUGGUGCAGAGUCACACCGUGGUGUGAUCAGACAUGUACAUAGGGUAAGGAUGUCCAUCUCGUUCUGCUGACCCUCCCAUCCCCACACCCUCUCUCCUCCCCUUACUCCCCUCUGCACAAUCCAAGGUUCCUUUAUUCCACCACACCCCCACUAGGGAUUAGUAUCUGCUCAUCAGAAAAAACAUCUGGCCUUUGGUGUUUGGGGUUUGGCUAUUUCACUUAGCAUGAUAUUCUCCAGCUCCAUCCACUUGCAAAUGCCAUGAUUUCAUUCUUCUUUAAGGCUGAGUAAUAUUCCGUGGUGUAUAUGUACCCCAUUUGGUUUAUCCAUUCACCCAUUGAAGGGCAUGCCAGUUGGUUCCAUAGCUCAGCUCUUGUGAAGGGAGCUCCUAGGUACAUUGAUGUGGCUGCGUCACUACAGUAGCCGAUUUUAAGCCCUUUGUGUAUCAACUAAGGAGUGGGAUAGCUGGGUCCAAUGGUGGUUCACUCCCAGUUUCCUGAGACUCUCCAUCCUGCUUCCCGUGGUAGCUGCCCGGGUCUGCAGUCCGCCCGCGGUGUGAGAGUGGGCCUUUCCCG